UAAUAUUUAGACGGUCUUUGAACAGGAGUAAUCUCUUACGGGCAGCUUGCUGAUUUCCCAAGUGCUCUGUGGGUGAGCCGUUCAGUUGACAAGCUGGGAUACACGUGCACACUGUGCACAGACUCCCUGACGGCUGAGGGUGCAGCUCCCGUGGGCUCAGGCUGUUCUGAGGUGGCCGCGUGGUCGGCCUUGUGCCCCCCCAGGCGAGUGACUGGACACGUGAGGCACGAGGGCCCUGUCCCUGCGGCAGCCGCGGCAGGGCUUGCUCUGAUGUGUCAGAAGUGGGAGAAGCUCAAGGGGUUGGGAUAGUCUUGCUGAUCUCAGUUAUUCAGCAAAUUUCAGUAAAUUCCAUGCGCCAGGCCCUCUUCCAGAUGCUACAGAAAUAGCCAAUAAAAACCUCUUUUGAAAAUUUAAUUUUCUUCUUCUCAGCAAAUACUACUUGUGACGGAGAUAAAGAAUCAGAGAUUGAAGAUGUUGAAACAGACAGUGGUAACUCACCUGAAGAUUUGAGGAAGGAAAUAAUGAUUGGUUUACAAUAUCAGGCUGAGAUCCCCCCGUAUCUGGGAGAGUAUGAGGAUGAUGAGAACGCGUCUGAAGAUGGAGACCAGCUCCUUUGGCGUCCCGGUGUGGUGGCGGAGAGCAAAGUGAAGGAGUACCUUGUCGAGGCCGCGUUCAGAACUGGAAAUGAGAAAAUGGUGGACAGGGUUUCGGCCGGAGCACUCACCAGGGACAAUGAGCAGGUGGGCACCUCAGCUUCUGUGGAAGCAGCAGCCAGCAUCUUCUCGAUUGGCUUCAUUUAAGCAAGUAUUUCUCACAUGUCACCUGGACAU